ACUCAAAGGAAUAGACGGGGACCCGCACAAACGGUGGAGCAUGUGGUUCAAUACGACGAUACGCGUGGAACCUUACCCAGACUUGACAUGUACUAGAAAUCCCUAUGAAAGUAGGGACCUCCCGCAAGGGACUGGUACACAGGUGUUGCAUGGCUGUCGUCAGCUCGUGUCGUGAGAUGUUGGGUUAAGUCCCGCAACGAGCGUAACCCCUAUCCUUAGUUGCUAACGCCCUCUUCGGAGGGUGCGCACUCUAGGGAGACCGCCGCUGAUAAAGCGGAGGAAGGUGGGGAUGACGUCAAGUCAGUACGGCCCUUACGUCUGGGGCUACACACGUGCUACAAUGGCCGGUACAAUAGGCUGCGACGCCGCGAGGCGAAGCCAAUCCCUAAAGCCGGCCCCAGUUCAGAUUGCAGGCUGCAACUCGCCUGCAUGAAGCUGGAAUCGUUAGUAACCUCGUAUCAGCCACGACGAGGUGAAUACGUUCCCGGGUCUUGUACACACCGCCCGU
rnacentral:rRNA from 1 species